rnacentral:rRNA from 1 species
AUUGAACGCUGGCGGCGUGCUUAACACAUGCAAGUCGAUCGGUAACGCGGGGGCAACCCUGGCGACGAGAGGCGGACGGGUGAGGAACGCUUGGGAAUCUGCCUAUCAGCGGGGGACAACACGGGGAAACUCGUGCUAAUACCGCAUACGCUCUACGGAGGAAAGCCGGGGACCGCAAGGCCUGGCACUGAUAGAUGAGCCCAAGUCGGAUUAGCUAGUUGGCGGGGUAACGGCCCACCAAGGCGACGAUCCGUAGCUGGUCUGAGAGGACGAUCAGCCACACUGGGACUGAGACACGGCCCAGACUCCUACGGGAGGCAGCAGUGGGGAAUAUUGGACAAUGGGGGAAACCCUGAUCCAGCGACGCCGCGUGGGUGAAGAAGGCCUGCGGGUUGUAAAGCCCUUUCGGUAGGGACGAAAGCUCUCGACCUAACACGUCGGGGGGUUGACUUAACCUACAAAAGAAGCACCGGCUAACUCUGUGCCAGCCGCCGCGGUAAAAC